GUCUAUGGCCAAACCACCCUGAGCACACUUGAUCUCAUCUGAUCUCGGAAGCUAAGCAGGGUCGGGCCUGGUUAGUAUUGGAUGUGAGAAAUACAUACAUGCAUAAAUA
rnacentral:rRNA from 1 species